rnacentral:lncRNA from 1 species
GCCGGGCAUGGUGGUGCAUGCCUUUAAUCCCAGCACUAGGGGAGCAGAGGCAGGCGGAUUUCUGAGUUCAAGGCCAGCCUGGUCUACAAAGUGAGUUCCAGGACAGCCAGGGCUAUACAGAGAAACCCUGUCUUGAAAAAACAAAAACAAAAAAACCCCCAAAAAACAAACAAACAAAAAAGAAUGUAAUAUUUUUUGUUUGUUUUUGAGAGAGGGUUUCUCUGUGCAGCCCUGGCUCUUCUGGAACUCACUCUGUAGAUCAUGCUGGCCUUGAAUUUAGAGAUCUGCU